GUCUAGCGGUGAGGUUUAUCUAUAUAUGCGAGGGGAGCGACAGGACAGUACAAGAAUAGCCCAGACCCUACUCAGUAUGUCUACUUACCUCUAGGGUUACCUUUUUUCCGAAGCUUGCUGCAUUGAGCUGAACUGACGGCAGCGCCACAGCCAACUGAUUUCAUUCGAAAACUUGUUUGGCCCAUGGUCGCUUUUGUUUUGGCCAACCUCUGUAUAUGUAUAUAUGUAUGUAUAUGGUAAAUGAAAAUAACAGCCCCUGGCCAAAGUAUCGAUUAAA